GAACCCUUGGCGCAGUGGUAGCGCGUAUGAUUCCAGUCCAUAAGGUCGUCCGUUCGAUCCGGGCAGGGUUCA
rnacentral:tRNA from 1 species